rnacentral:rRNA from 1 species
AUGAACGCUGGCGGCGUGCCUAAUACAUGCCAGUCGAGCGCACGGACGAGAAGCUUGCUUCUCUGAUGUUAGCGGCGGACGGGUGAGUAACACGUGGAUAACCUACCUAUAAGACUGGGAUAACUUCGGGAAACCGGAGCUAAUACCGGAUGAUAUUUUGAACCGCAUGGUUCAAAAGUGAAAGACGGUCUUGCUGUCACUUAUAGAUGGAUCCGCGCUGCAUUAGCUAGUUGGUAAGGUAACGGCUUACCAAGGCAACGAUGCAUAGCCGACCUGAGAGGGUGAUCGGCCACACUGGAACUGAGACACGGUCCAGACUCCUACGGGAGGCAGCAGUAGGGAAUCUUCCGCAAUGGGCGAAAGCCUGACGGAGCAACGCCGCGUGAGUGAUGAAGGUCUUCGGAUCGUAAAACUCUGUUAUUAGGGAAGAACAUAUGUGUAAGUAACUGUGCACAUCUUGACGGUACCUAAUCAGAAAGCCACGGCUAACUACGUG